AGUGAACGCUGGCGGUAGGCCUAACACAUGCAAGUCGAACGGCAGCACAGUAAGAGCUUGCUCUUACGGGUGGCGAGUGGCGGACGGGUGAGGAAUACAUCGGAAUCUACUUUUUCGUGGGGGAUAACGUAGGGAAACUUACGCUAAUACCGCAUACGACCUACGGGUGAAAGCAGGGGAUCUUCGGACCCUGCGCGAUUGAAUGAGCCGAUGUCGGAUUAGCUAGUUGGCGGGGUAAAGGCCCACCAAGGCGACGAUCCGUAGCUGGCCUGAGAGGAUGAUCAGCCACACUGGAACUGAGACACGGUCCAGACUCCUACGGGAGGCAGCAGUGGGGAAUAUUGGACAAUGGGCGCAAGCCUGAUCCAGCCAUACCGCGUGGGUGAAGAAGGCCUUCGGGUUGUAAAGCCCUUUUGUUGGGAAAGAAAAGCAGCAGGUUAAUACCCCGCUGUUCUGACGGUACCCAAAGAAUAAGCACCGGCUAACUUCGUG
rnacentral:rRNA from 1 species